rnacentral:rRNA from 1 species
UACGUAGGGGGCGAGCGUUGUCCGGAUUUAUUGGGCGUAAAGAGCUCGUAGGCGGUUCGAUAAGUCGGACGUGAAAUCUCCACGCUCAACGUGGAGGGGCCGUUCGACACUGUCGUGACUCGAGUCCGGUAGGGGAGUGUGGAAUUCCCGGUGUAGCGGUGAAAUGCGCAGAGAUCGGGAGGAACACCCGUAGCGAAGGCGGCACUCUGGGCCGGUACUGACGCUGAGGAGCGAAAGCGUGGGGAGCAAACAGG